GGGGAGGGAAGGGGAAGCAAUCAAUGAUUAUUUAUACGUUGUAGACGCAUCUGGAUAAUUCGUCUUGAAUGAUGAAAUAAUCGCAAGUGCAAGUUCUUAAAAAAAAAAAAAUAAAAAUAAAAAAAUAAUUACUUCAAAAAUAAAAAGCUCCAAAGAAAAAUCAUGACUCAUUUGGUCAAUGAGUUCAUUUCUUAUUUUUAUCGUCCAGCUUAUUAGAUUUAUUGGCUCGUUUUAUUCCUUUUUUUUUUCUUUCCUUUCUUAUCGUGCAUCCAACGAAUUCUCAAGAGUAAAUAUUUCGUUCAGUGAUAUACGACAUUCGCGAUUUGAGAGAAAGUUUUACAUAUAAAUAGUCAAGGGUGCGUUCGUACGUGCGCAAUAUAAUAAUAACGUAAUAAUAACAAAAUCCAAUGAAUAGAUUAGGUAACAACGUUCGGAAUACUUCAUAUUAAGAUUUGACAUGAAGAUCUGACAUGAAAAUCUGACAUGAAGAUCUGACAUUAAACUGAAAUCCAUCUUGUUUUUUUACUAUUAGAUGAUAAGAAAAGAAAAAAAAAAAAAGAUUAGAAUUUUCAGCGAUAGAUAGAUAGCUUCAUUCAUUCGUCGUUAAUAUUUCGUACUUAAACGAUAUUGUUUUGCUCAUUGAAUAAAUAUAUAAAUUAUUAAAUAAAUAAAUAAAUGGACAUUAUUGGAUAUUAAUUUUUAAAAGUUAUUUUUACUUGAAAAACUAAAACCUUUAAAUCUUUCUGAAGAUAAUUUCUUCUUUUUUUUUUUUUUUUCUUCUUUAAUUUUAUAACAUUUUACAGGCUUCCCCCGCCCUCCUCCCUACUUUAGGCAUGUUCUGUGUGAUUAAACGAAUAUAUCCUUCCAGGUAUUAUCUAAGUAAUUUGCUACUGCUUCCUUACCUUGUAAGGUAUUCUAUCCCCUUCCAUAACGACAUGCGCGUUAUGAACGUACUUCUUAACGUUUCAAACUUCCGUAGUUUAAUUUCAUCGCUUGAAGAUGACACAUUACUGCAAAAGAAAAAGAAUAUUAAAAAAUACCAUAGCAAAUAAAAAUGACGACUAAAUGAUCGAAGAUUCCAAGCGUAAUACCCGUUGCUGAUAUAGUCCUCUUCUUUUGAAUGCAUACUGCCGUCUGUGAUGAGUAACUAACUUUGAUCGAUUUCGAACCCACGUUUUUAGCUUGAUUAAGUAUUGUCCCUUCUGAUAACAUUUUAAUAAUUAAAUGUAGGAGAGAACGUUUGGAAAUUGUUUUGAACUUUUUUAUAGGGAUACUUCACGUCUCGAACGUGUUCUAAAUUCUUUUUCCCAUAAUUGACUAUUGUAUGUGAAAAACAGGUGUAUGUUCCCAGUUGUUAAGUAAUUUAUUAUUACAUUGUUAAAAGAGUAUUUUAUCCUCUCCAAAAGGGACAUGCGCAUUAUGAACUCUCUUAUCGUUUCAUUCUCUCAUCACUUUACUUUUGUCUCUUGAAGAUAACGUAUAACUACGUUUAUAGAGCAUGUUGGUGCUUAACAUGUAAGCAUUAUUCUAUUGAGAUCUUGAAAAAUAAGUAUUAUUGUCAAUUUAAAAGUUUUAUGAAAAUUAUUUAAAUCUCCUUUACUUGCAAUAUUUUAUCUAAAACCAUUAUCACGUUUUCCAUUUUUUUACCUUUAUUACCUGUACAAUUAAACAGAUGUUUCUUUUCAAGUAUUAAGUAAACUAUCCUUGUCCCUUUAACAUUCUAUCAUACUUUACCUCUUCAACAAAAGUUAUGUGAAUUACUUUGUUUUCUUGCUAUACACUUUUGUCUUUUGAAGAUAACAUAUGUAUUACUCUUUUGAAAUAGAAUAUGGCUACAUGACGCAUUAGCAUUCUAUUCUUAUCAUUUGUAAUGUAACAAAUGAAUAAGUAUAAUUAUUCAAUGUUAAUAUUAUGUACAAUUGUUUAUUCCUUCAUGGAAUUACCUUGAAUGUAUAGAUUUGUAUGAUUUCUAAGACAACAGUCAUCAGAAGGAUUCUGUUCAAAUUCUGUUUUCAAAAGAAUAUCUUUGCAAGUGUAGAUUCAGUAUAAUUUUGUUUUAUUACCAUUUGUACUAUCAUUGUGUACACAUACAUGACGUAUAUCAGAAUUAUAACUUAACAAACAUUUGAAAUAAAAUCACAAGAUUGCCUCUAGCAGAAUUUUUCUUUUCUGCAGGUUUUCUUUUUUAACAGAUAUUUUUCUAAGUAAUAACAAAUCCCAUCAUUGUAAGAAAAUGUUAUAUAACAAUAAAUCUAAACAUGGAUAUAUAUAAUGAAAAAGGAUACAGUAAGAUUUUUUAUUUAUGAAUAUUACUAAAUAAUGUAUAUAAACGAAGGAUUUGCAUCAAUUCAGUAUUUGCAGACAAAAAAGCAAGAAUUUCUGUAUUUUUAUAACGCAGUGUAAGAUAUGAUCAUAUAUCAAUUUUAAUUUGUUAAAGUCAUUGCAAGUUAAAAAAUACCAUAGCAAAUGAAAAUGAUUUCUGCAUUAACUGCAAAACUAAAUCUCUAUUGAUAUAGAAUUUUUCAAAAAUCAUUAAUUAUAUACAGAAAAAUUUUGUUACCUUGGCAAAAGUAUUGUGUGAUACUACGACCAGUCCUCUUAAAGAAAGAUAACAUGGUCUCGUGGUUUUCAUUAUCAAUAGAAGUAAUAUUUUUUGCGUUUUCAAUGAUAAUAAAUAAAAGGGGAUUUGACAUCUAGGAAAAUUAAUUACUCAUAAAUAUCUAAGAAAAUGGAUUAGAAAAUUGAAUAUACUAUAAAUACUUACAACUGAAUGAAGAAAUCAGCGUGCUCAUCUAUUAAUUUCUGUCCCAGAUAAAAGUAAGCAUAUAUUACGAGCAGAGAUCCAAUGACAUAACAGAAUUUUGUUAUUCCUUCAUUCGCAUUUAGGGUAAAACAAAGUAUCUGAAAUAACUAAUAACAAAUUUCUACGUUUUGUACCCCAAUACGAUAUGUUUGAAAUUUUUAAUUUACAAUAAAUUUAUUACUUACGUAGAAAUAAUCUACCAUAAUUAAAAUCGACGCGAAGAAUCCUUCGAAUAUAUAAAUUGUCUCAUAAAGCAAUUUUAUUAAAUCGACAAAACUGGAGAAGUAAAAGAAAUAUUGUAAUAUUAAUAUUAGCAAUUUGCACAUAUAAUACGAAUUUGCAAUAAUAUCUUUAUAAAACUAGAUACCAACUUAAGUGCGUUAUUGUAUAAUUCUAUUGUAUCAACGAUCCACUCGUUUUCCUCUUUAAGAGUAAACGGACGAUAGUUGUUACAUGGUUGUUUUUUAAAAUACUCAUUUACUCUCCAUCUGUAAUAAUCAGCAAUUCUGUUAAUUAAAUAUUCAGAAAAAAUUGUAUACUGAAAAUUAUUAUGUUACAUAGUAAAAUAUAUCAUUAUUAUUGAUUUCUUACUGGAUGAUAUUAAACAGUGCACAGGCAUGCUGUAUAAUUGCUAUGAACAUUGAGUAAUUAGCUACUCCUAUCAUGCAGACAAUGCACAUGCCUAUGUAUUCGUACAAAAGUGCAAUAAAGUAAAACAAUUGAUUUUUCAUAAAAUAUUCAGCACGAACUGGUAGUAUUAAUUCAGUUUCAUUUAUUACACCAAAAAUGUAUUGAAAGAUACGUAACAAGGAUGGAAACAUCAGUAAAACGAUAUACAUGUAAAAACUGACUGAAAGAGUAAAGGUAAUAAUAUAGUUUUAGUAAUUGUAGCUUAAUGGAUUUGUAAUACUAUUGUAAUGUAUAUUUAUUUUUCUCACUUGCGAUUAUAAUAGUAGAUUGUCUGCUUAUAUUUGCAUAUUUUUUUAGUAUCAUUAUCUCCGGCUUAUCUGCAAAAUCUACCCAAUCACAUUUGAUAUGAUGCAAAAUUUUCUUAAUCUGAAAGUUGUACGAUAAAUUAUCUAUUCUAACACACGUGUAUAUAAUUUAUAAUUGCAAAAUGUAUUUGUAACAAUUAUAUUAAUACAAUUGUAGUUUUCGACAAUAGAUUGCAAUAGCAAGAUCCGAAGCAUAAAGUAGGCAGAGUUGUUUCCAAUGAUUUGGUGAUCACAUUUAUGUUUGAUUCUGACGUGAAAAGCAUAUAAAUCUAAAUCACAAUCCGUUUAUUAGUAAUAUAUAAAGAAAUAGUCAUUUAAAUUCUUGAGAUAAUAUCAUUUUUUUCGUUAAUAAUUAUAUGGAAUAUUUAAUCAUUAAUAAGAAUUAUGAUUACCUGCGGAAAUAAUGCGAUGGCUAAUAUGAUCUUUAUAAAAUAAACAUAAAUUAGUUGCUUCAACGAUGCCUGAUAUUCACAUAGACCGAUUAAUCUAAAAAAUUGAAGAUUACGAGCGUAAUACUCGUUGUUGAUAUAGUCCUCUUCUUUCGAAUGCAUACUGCCGUCUGUGGUGACUAACUAACUUCGAUCGACUUCGAACCCACCUUCGUUACUUGAUUAAGUAUUCUAAUUAUCCCUUCUGGUAACAUGUUAAUAAUUCAAUGUUAGGAAGAACGUUUGGAAGUUGUAUCGAACCGAUAAAAAGGAUUUUCUUAUAGCGAUUCUUCAUAUAAAAUCUAUGUUUUCCUCCCUAUUGUCGAUAAUUGUAUGCGUAAAACAGAUGUAUGUUCCCAACUAUUAAGUAAUUUGAUGCUGCUUUUUACAUACCAGGAUAUUUUGUCCCCACCACAAAGGACAUGCGCGUUACGAUCUGACUUUUUCUUACCUUUUCAUUCUCUCGCAGUUUAAUUUUAUCGCUUGAAGAUGACACAUCUAAUACUAAAAUACCAAAUAUAAGUAUUUUACAAGUGAGUAAUAUCCCUUAAUAUUUAUUGGAUUAUAUGUUAAUAAAAAUUUUCGUUUAGUAUUCAUAUGUCAACAUUUGUUUAUUUCUCCCCGUAAAAUAUUUUUAUUUAUGUUCACAAAAACUUAUAUAUUUUUUUCAUACAUAUUUUUCUUUUCAUUUUUACUGUGAAUAUAGAAAUCGUUUGAACAUGAAAUGUUAUGAAUUAUAUUUUUGAUCUUUUUUAUUUUUAACUAUCCUCCAUUUAUGAUAAUUUGAAAUAUUACAAAUUGAAAUAGUUCUAAAAAUGUUUCUUAUUAAAUACGUUUGUUUUGCAAAGUAACAUCCACAACCGUUACAUGGAAACAUUUAAUUGUCAAUAUUCACUAAUUGACCCUUUUAUUGUGAUCUUAAAAAACAAGCAUUGUUGUUGAUUUAAAAGUUUUAUGAAAAUUAUUUAAAUCUCCUUUACUUGCAAUAUUUUAUCUAAAACCAUUAUCACGUUUUCCAUUUUUUUACCUUUAUUACCUGUACAAUUAAACAGAUGUUUCUUUUCAAGUAUUAAGUAAACUAUCCUUGUCCCUUUAACAUUCUAUCAUACUUUACCUCUUCAACAAAAGUUAUGUGAAUUACUUUGUUUUCUUGCUAUACACUUUUGUCUUUUGAAGAUAACAUAUGUAUUACUCUUUUGAAAUAGAAUAUGGCUACAUGAUGCAUUAGCAUUCUAUUCUUAUCAUUUGUAAUGUAACAAAUGAAUAAGAAUAAUUAUUCAAUGUUAAUAUUAUGUACAAUUGUUUAUUCCUUCAUAGAAUUACCUUGAAUGUAUAGAUUUGUAUGAUUUCUAACACAACAGCCAUCACAAAGAUUCUGUUAAAGUUCUGUUUUCAACAGAAUGUCUUUUGGGGUCUACGUUCAUUAUAAGAUAUACAUUAAUUAUUAUUUCUACUAUUAUUGUGUAGAUGCAAGUAACCAAUAUUAGGAUUAUUAUUUAGUGAACAUUUGAAAUGACAAGAUUGCCUAACAAGAUUGCAUAACAGAAUUUUUCUUUUUGCCAGAUUUUCUUUUUUGACAGAUAUUUUUCUAAUUAAUAGCAAACUCAAGAAUUCUAAGUAAAUACUAUAUGAUAACAAACAUGUAGUGGGAAAUAUAAAAUGAAAAAGGGUAAAAUAAGAUUUUUUAUUUUUGUAUAAUACUAAAUAGUGGAAAAUAAAAUUUACUUUUAAACGAAGAAUUUGCAUCAAUUUAAUAUUUGCAGAUUAUACCACAGAAAUUUCUACAUUUUUCUAAUGCUAUAUAAUGAAUUAUUAUACUAUAUUCUUAAUCGGUUAAAGUCAUUACAGUUUAAAACAUACCAUAGCAAAUGAAAAUGACGACUUCAUUAACUGCAAAAUUAAAUUUGUAUUGAUAUAAAGUUCUUCGAAAAUCGUUAUCAGUACAGCUGCAGAAUCUAUAUCUGCAGAACGUUGUUCUGUACAUCUGCAGAAAAUAUGUUACCUUCGCAAAAGUAUAGUGAGAUACUACGACUAUUCCCCUUAUAGAAAGAUAACAUGGUCUCAUGGUUUUCAUGAUCAGUAGAAGUAAUAUUUUUUGCGUUUUCAAUGAUAACAAAUAAAACGGGAUUUGACAUCUAGAAAAAUUAAUUAUUCAUAAAUAUUUAAGAGAAUAUUAAAGAAAAUUAUAAAUAUAUAUAUAUAAUAUACUACAAAUAUUUACAACUGAAUAAAUAAAUCAGUGUGCUCAUCUAUUAAUUUCUGUCCCAGAUAAAAGUAAGCAUAUAUUACGAGCAGAGAUCCAAUGACAUAACAGAAUUUUGUUAUUCCUUCAUUCGCAUUUAGGGUAAAACAAAGUAUCUGAAAUAACUAAAAACAAAUUUCUAUGUUUUGUACUUCGAUAUGAUAUUUUUGAAAUUUUUCAUUUACGACAUAUAUGUUACUUACGUAAAUAUAAUCUACAAUAAUUAAAAUUGACGCGAAGAAUCCUUCGAAUAUAUAAAUUGUCUCAUAAAGCAAUUUUAUUAAAUCGACAAAACUGGAGAAGUAAAAGAAAUAUUGUAAUAUUAAUAUUAGGAAUUUGCACAUAUAAUACGAAUUUGCAAUAAUAUCUUUAUAAAAUUAGAUACCAACUUAAGUGCGUUAUUGUAUAAUUCUAUUGUAUCAACGAUCCACUCGUUUUCAUCUUUAAGAGUAAACGGACGAUAGUUGUUACAUGGUUGUUUUUUAAAAUACUCAUUUACUUUCCAUCUGUAAUAAUCAGCAAUUCUGUUAAUUAAAUAUUCAGAAAAAAUUAUAUACUGAAAAUUAUUAUGUUGCAUAGUAAAAUAUAUCAUUAUUAUUGAUUGCUUACUCGAUAAUAUUAAACAGUGCACAGGCAUGCUGUAUAAUUGCUAUGAACAUUGAGUAGUUAGCUACUCCCAUCAUGCAGACAAUGCACAGAGCUAUGUAUUCGUACAAAAGUGUAGUAAAGUAAAACAAUUGAUUUUUCAUAAAAUAUUCAUCACGAACUGGUAAUAUUAAUUCAGUUUCAUUUAUUACACCAAGAAUAUAUUGAAAGAUACGUAAUAAAGAUGGAAAUAUUAAUAAGAUAAUAUAGGUGUAAAAACUAACUGAAAUAGUAAAGGCUCCAAUGUAGAUUCUAUAAGUGCAACUUAAUGAAUUUCUAAUACUUUUACUAUGCUUAUUUUCUUUUACUCACUUGCGAUUAUGAUAGUAGAUUGUCUGCUUACAUUCGCAUAUUUUUUUAGUAUUAUUAACUCCGGCUUGUCUGCAAGAUCUAUCCAAUCACAAUUAAUACGACACAUAAUUUUCUUCAUCUAAAAGUUAUACCAUAAAUUAAUUAUUAUAAUACACAAGUAUGUCGUUUAUAAUUAUUAAAAAAUACUUUGAACGAAUUUCGGACAAUUGCAUUCUUCAACAAUAGGUUCCAGUAGCAAGAUCCGAAGCAUAGAGUAGGCAAGAUAGUUUCCAAUAAUUUGGUGAGCAAAUUUAUUUUUGGUUCUGAUGUGAAAAACAUAUAAAUCUAGAGUACAAUUAGUUAAUCUAAUAAGUAAGCAGUCAUUUAUAUUGUACUUUGAAAAAAUCUUUUUUUUUUCAUAAAUUAUAUGAAAUAUUUAUUCAUUAAUCAGAAAAGUUACCAAUCGACUUAAUCCUAGGAGUAUUACAAUAUUUAUAGAACAAAUGUAAAUCUGUUGUUUCAACGAUGAGUUGUAUUCCCAUAGACCGAUUAAUCUAAAUAAUCGAAGAUUCCAAGCGUAAUACCCGUUGCUGAUAUAGUCCUCUUCUUUUGAAUGCAUACUGCCGUCUGUGAUGAGUAACUAACUUUGAUCGAUUUCGAACCCACGUUUUUACCUUGAUUAAGUAUUGUCCCUUCUGGUAACAUUUUAAUAAUUAUAUAUAGGAGAGAACGUUUGGAAAUUAUCUCGAAUUGUAAGAAGACUUUUUUUAAUAGCGUUAGCUUAUGUAAAAUUUUUAUCGUGUUGUAAGAUUUUACACACAUUAUCGCAAUUGUAUAUUUCAAACAAGUGUUUGUUCCCAGUUAUUAAGUAAUUAGUUGUUGCGUCUUUAGAUAGUAGGACAUUUUAUCCCCACCCCCCAGCCCCUCUACAAAGGACAUGCGCAUUAUGAUCGUAUUCCUUCUGACCUUCUCAUUCUCUCGCAGUUUAAUUUUAUCGCUCGAAGAUGAUACAUCUACUAUUGAAAUUAACGAUCUUCAGUGUUUUAAGUGUGAAUAAUAUUCGUUAAUAUUUAUUGGAUUAUAUCUUAACAAGUUAGUAGCUUGAAAUAUAUACCUGUUUAAUACAUACAAUUGCUGCCAAUUUAAGCAACUGUGCUUUUGCGUCUUUACGUAGUAGGAUAUUUUAUGCUCUCCACAAAGGACAUCCACGUUACAAACUUGCUCCUUAUUAUUGUCUAAUUCUAUCAGUAAUUCGCUCUCAUCACCUCGAAGAUAAUUCAUUACUUUAAGAAAAAGAAGAUUUUGUGUUUUACAUGUAAGUUUAAAUAUUGUGAAGUAUACUAUAGGAUUGACGUAAGUAAGUUAAUAUUAUAUAAAAAUAGAAUGAUUAUAAAACGAUUACUCUGGU